GUGAGGGGAGGCCGCUGCGGUGGCCGGGGCUCUCGCGGCUGUCAGGCUGCUGGGCGGGCGGGAGGCACGGCGGCGCGCCGCGGGCGGGGAGGCUGCCGAGGAGCUUGUCGCCGGGGCCUGCGAGCGUGGCAGCCCGGGGGGGUGGGGGGAGGGUGACGAGCAAAAUGGCGGUUGCUUCCGGCUCCGAAGCGGGCAGGGAGGUUGGCGAGAGACGGCCGCUCGCGGGCGCAAGGAGCCGCGGAGGCCGUGAGCGGGGGAGCGCGGCGGCGCGUGGGGACCCGCGGGCGGGCCCGCGUCCGGCGGCCUGACUGGCGCGCAGCCCGGGCUUUCGUAGCGCGGCGGUUCCGGAGGACCCGGCACCGCGGGGGGAGAGGGUGCGGCCCGUGACGUCACUCUCUGUGGGCUCAUAGGGGGCGUCCGCUGGGGGGCCGCGGCUGUCCCGGGCCUGAGGGAGACGCUGCCGGGCCGACGGGGGACGCGGGUCCAGCGGCGCAGACGUGAGGCUUCGGCUCGUGGACAAUGCAGAUCUUCGUGAAGACCCUGACGGGGAAGACCAUCACCCUGGAGGUGGAGCCCAGCGACACCAUCGAGAACGUCAAGGCCAAGAUCCAGGACAAGGAGGGUAUCCCCCCCGACCAGCAGAGGCUCAUCUUCGCCGGGAAGCAGCUGGAGGAUGGGCGCACCCUGUCUGACUACAACAUCCAGAAAGAAUCUACUCUGCACCUGGUCCUGCGCUUGAGGGGAGGUGUCUAAGGUCCCCCUUUUAAGCCUCUGACAAAUUACAUUGCACUUUUCUUUCAAUAAAGUUGUUGCAUUCCCAAAUAGUGUGGGUUUUUUAAUGUCAUGUGAGGUUCUUUUUCGUUAGGGUGUGGUGCAAGGGAUCAUGGUUUCCAGUCUACCAAAUGAUUCUCUGGUAACCAAGAGUUAAGAAAUACCAGUAAAAGAUUGCCUUAAUAUAGAAUUGUAGUGGGUGGGUACAAAUAAAGACUAGGCAAAUUAGAGGUUGCUUUUAGAAUUUCCUGUAUAUACACAUAUAUAGACAUUUGAGGGCUACUGACAUUAAAAAUACUGAGUUUGGGGGUGGUUGUGAGGUACCUGAGCAUGGGGAAGUUUCUGGAACACUAGCAGGAAGGAGAUAAGAGGAGGGGUGAUUGUGGUAGAAGGGAACUUACAGAAGUAGCUUUAAUGUCUAGCUGUACUUAAAUCCACGAGCUGCACAGAAGGUUGUCAUCUGACAGACUUUAAAGAAUAUGGCGAGUAUUGUAUAUUAAAUAAAAAUUACCUGGUAGGCAUUAUGCUAGUGUUUGGGCAUUAGUGGUUAUUUGAAAUGUCAUAAUUACUGCUGAAGUAAGUUGUCAAGGUGAUUCCUCGGUUUUCAUGUGGCUACAGAUAAAGGUUUGUAUAUAACUUCAUUGGUGGUGGGUGGAGCAUCUGGCCUUUGGUCUUAGUUUCCAGAAGUUUGUGGUGGUGGCAUUUACCCACUCAGCUGGUGCUGAUAAGGGAUUAUUUUUACGUCUUAACUAGAACCUAAGGUGGAGGUUGCAGGGAAGCUGGUCUAGUAUAAGCAAUUGGCCCUUGGUGAUGGGCACCCCAGAAAUCGGAGCCCCAUCUAAGCGCUGGAAGGGAUUGUCUUCUCCAGAGAGCACCAUUCCCUCCACUGCUCCCUUGCACUCCCCCAGUUUUGGGGUAUCCAUGCAUAACCUCUGAUGUAGAAGGAAAUUUUGUGUUGUCACUGCCAGUUGUAAAAUGGCCAGAACCAGGUUUAAGUCCUAGGUUCAGGGAUCACAACUAGAAAAUUGAGGCCAUUUGAGAAAUCCAUAAAUCUUAGGCAAGUCUGUUAGUUUCUGUGGUUUUUCACAAUAGGCUGGUAGAAGCAUGUGUAACACAGUUUGCUGAAUUUCCAUCCCUUGCCCGUACAAGAUAACAUAGGUCAGGAAGCAACAUUACAAGAACCCCAGGAACUUCACCAGCAGCUGUAACCAGUUACCAGUUACGAUGCUAGGAGUUUUUGUGCAAGUGAUUUUGGUGCUUGUUAGAAAUGAGUGGUCGUAGUACAGGGAAAACAUCUUAAUAGCAUCUUGAAAAUGACCGCUCUGCAGGACAGGUGGUGUAAGGUUCUUAGUCAGUGUUAAUGUAUUACAGGCAACUACUAAGUAUUAAUUCCCACUCACACAGUAGCAUACUGGUUUGUAGUCUGUCCUGCACCUUGUUUUUUGUAUUAUAUAUCAUGGUUUUGGCAGAGUUCUAACAUCUUUUCAUUUUGUAUAAAGGAAAAACACCUUUUGUGUAAUUUUCUCAAGGACAAACCACCCGGGCAACACAAUCCCUAGUGAACUUUUACAGUACCCUCCACCCAAUAAACGGCAUGUCAGAAGCCGUAGUGAUCCAGUGAUGGAUGAGAAGGUUUUCUGCCAUCAGGGGAUCCUUAGUCUAAGAGCAGACUUGCUGGACUUGUUCAGUUUCAUUGAAAGAUUGUUAAAUCUUAAAGCCCCCCAAAGUUUGGUUUCACAUUUGAAUGAAUACUAUGUAAGAACUCACAGACAUGUGGUUCUGUCUCUUGAACAAACCAGAAAAGAUAUGCAUGGCUUGUGUUAAGCUCAUGUUCCUUUUUAUGUUUUGUCUGAAAGCACAACAAAGUCUUCACUAAAAACAGGAUCUCCUGCAAGUUAUGAGUAUGGCCCUAAUAGAGGUAGAAUGUUGAGAGAUCGGCAAGGGCCCUUCAAUGAAGCCGGUCAGCCACCUUAGCGUGCGGUGCUGGUUUCUGCCGGCAGAGGGAGCUCCGGGCACAGACUUCGGUGGAGGCCUGCAGCCUGCAGUGCUCCCAGGCGGUUGCGGUUGACCAGGCAGUUGAUGUACUCACCAGCAAGGGUUACUUUACUCUCAUUUUUCUCCUUCUACCGGUGCUGCAGCCACCUCCGUUUCUACCCCAGCUCGAAUUACUCCAUAAUAUCUAAUAUAGCUGUUACUCAGACCCUCUUUCUUACUGAAUCUCACCAGCCCUCACCGCUCAAAUGCCCUCCUGCCCGCUUCCCCUGUCCGCUGGCCACUUUCUUUUCCCCACCUGCUCCCUGCCAUUUUGCACCUCUUUCCUUCGAGCUACUCCGUCUUUCUGAAAUACCACCCCUCCCACCUCGACAAAUCCAAUCCUGCCCGAUGUCAAGCCCUGAUUUAAAGAAUGCCCAAAGCCUGCCUUGACUGUCCCAGCUGGACAGUGGCUGUCUUCCCUGAAAUCGCGUAGCUCUUUCUAUUUUGUGUUGAAGCUCUUCACUCAAAUGAGGGAGCUCUGCUCCUGUGUGUUUCCCCAGCACAGUGGCGUCUUUAUUAAGUAUGAGAUGUAGUGUUUCAUGGGCUCUUCAUUAGUCCUUCCCCAGACAAGAUGGCUGUAGAAAUCCUGAAAUGAUUCCUGUGGGGCUUCCUAAUUUGCUUGAAAAGAAAACUAGGCACAGAGCUAGAUAGAAGACAGAAGGCAAAUGUUUUCUACCUUGAAACGUAUAUUGCACAGAUCUGAACAAUUAGUAAAAUGAUGGGGUUGUAUGAUCAGAGGCUUUCAACGAGUAAUAAAGGAUGCUUUUAAGAGUAGUAAAUCAAUGAAUAAUAGUAGUCAGUGGUUUGUGUCAAGCCCUGUCUCUACCACCAGAAAAAGUUGAUUUCUGUCUUGCAGAGUGGUCAAGAAUAUAGGCGUCUUUGUUUCCUUUUUUAAGCCAUUCUGCUUUUUGACUGGCUUUUGCGACAGCAUUAGUUUUUUACCAGGCAGAAGAGAAGCCUUGGGCUGUAACCAGAGGUGAGAUGGCUGAAAUCUCAGUGGUCCUCCAACUAGAAUUAGACUGAACAACAGUGUGUGAGUUAGGAGUGCUUUUGGCUACAGGACACAGAAAGAUCCAAAUCACAGAGGAUCAAACAAGGGGGUGUUCAUCUUCUCAUAACAAGCAGUCUGGAUGUAAACCCCAAGCAUUUGCUUUGUUGUGAUUCUCUUGUUCUUUCCCUCAUAGUUGCAAAAUUGUUGUCACAGCUCCAGAUAUCACAUCUGUAUUCAAAGCAGGGAGAAGUGCGGAGCAGUGGGGUCAGCCACGUCAGGUUUUUUUAAUGAAGAAAAUACAGGCUUUCACUGACUUACCCUCAGGUCUCGUUGAUCAGAACUGGUCAAGGGGCCAGAAUGGUUUAAAAUACAGGGUUUCUCAAACUCAGCACUAUUGACCUUUUAGCCUGGAUAACUCUUUAUUGUGGGAGCUGUCCUGUGCACUGCAGGAUGUUUAGCAGCAUUUCUGGCCUCUGUCCACUGGGUGCCAGUAGCCCUCAGUGGUGACAACUAAAAAUAUUUCCAGAUGUUUCUGAAGUCCCCUGGGAGGCAAAAAUCAUCCCCCCUUGAGAACCGCUGGUUUAGACCAGUCAUGAUCCAUUGCUUGAGGCUGGCUGUAUUUCCACCUUGAAAAAAAAAUCAGAAUUAGUAAAGCAAAAAGACGGUCAUGGGUCUAGGGGUGGGCAGCUAAAAGCAGCGAUAAUGAAAUCUAAGGGCACUCUUAUUUUUUGUCGUCUUGGUAAAACUCAGUGUUACACAUCAUUAGACCAGUGGUUCUUAGGACGCAGUGUAGAAGAGGACACCAUGGGGACUUGUUAAAAAUGCAGUGCCUCAGCCCCCUCCCGGAGGCCCAGAUUCAGCAGGGCUGGGGUAGUGCCAGGAUCUGCAUUUUUUUUUAAUUGAGGUCAUAAUAGUUUAUAACAUUGUGAAGUUUCAAUUGUACAUUAUUAUUUGUCCAUUACCAUGCAUAUGUGCCCCUUUCACCCUUGUUCCUGCUCCCCACCCCCUUCUCCUCUGGUAACCACUAGUCUGUUCUCUUGUCAUGUGUUUGUUUAUCUCCCACAUGAGUGAAAUCGUACAAUGUUUGUCUUUGUCUGGCUUAUUUCGUUUAACAUAGUACCCUCACGGUCCAUCCAUGUUGUUGCGAAUGGGACGAUUUUGUCUUUUUUUAUGGCUGAGUAGUAUUCCAUUGUGUGUAUAUAGCACAUCUUCCUUGUCCAGUCGUAACUGAUGGGCACUUGGGUUGCUUCCACGUCUUGGCUAUUGUGAAUAAUGCUGCAGUGAACAUAGGGGUGCAUAAGUCUCUUUGGAUUGUUGAUUUCAAGCUCUUUGGAUAAAUAUCCAGUAGUGGGAUAGCUGGGUCAUAUGGUAUUUUUAUUUUCAAUUUUUUGAGAAAUCUCCAUACUGUUUUCCCUAGUGGCUGCACCAGUUUGCAUUCGCAGCAGCACUGUAUGAGGGUUCCCUUUUCUCCACAUCCUCUCCAACAUUUAUUUUUAGUUUUGGUGAUUAUAGCCGUUCUAACAGGUGUAAGAUGAUAUCUCAUUGUAGUUUUGAUUUGCAUUUCCCUGAUGAUUAGUGAUGCUGAACAUCUUUUCAUGUGCCUGUUGGCCAUCUGUAUAUCUUCUUUGGAGAAAUGUCCGUUCAUGUCCUCUGCCCAUUUUUUGAUUGGGUUGUUUGUUUUUUUGUUGUUCAGUUGUGUAAGUCUUUUUUUUUUUUUUUUUUUUUUUAGUGAAAGCCCG
ensembl:lncRNA